rnacentral:rRNA from 1 species
AUUGAACGCUGGCGGCAGGCCUAACACAUGCAAGUCGAACGGAGCGGCGGAAGGGUGAGUGAUGCCUAGGAAUCUGCAUGGUAGUGGGGGAUCACGUCCGGGAAGGGGAGCUAAUACCGCAGACUAUAAGAUGAGCCUAGGGCGGCUUAGCUAGUUGGUGGGGUAAGGGCAUACCAAGGCGACGAUCCGUAACUGGUCUGAGAGGAUGAUCAGCCACACUGGAACUGAGACACGGUCCAGACUCCUACGGGAGGCAGCAGUGGGGAAUAUUGGACAAUGGGCGAAAGUCUGAUCCAGCAAUGCCGCGUGUGUGAAGAAGGUCUUCGGAUUGUAAAGCACUUUUAGUUGGGAGGCGUUACCAACAGAAUAAGCACCGGCUAACUUCGUGCCAGCAGCCGCGGUAAUAC